CCGAGUUCAUGCCCCCCGGGGUAGACCUCCCACCCGUGCUUAUCUACCCUGUUGCUUUCGCGAGGCGCCGUUCCGGCCGCCGGUUCACGCUGGCGAGCCCUCGCGAGAGGCUUAACCACCAACCGUCUUAUCGUGUCAGUCAGAGUAGACUUGAAAAAAGGUCA
rnacentral:misc_RNA from 1 species